GCAAGUCGUACGGGAUUUCAUCUUUCGGGAUGAAUGAGAGUGGCGCACGGGUGCGUAACGCGUAUGCAACCUACCUGUUACAGGGAGAUAGCCCGGGGAAACUCGGAUUAAUAUCCCAUAGGAUAUAUUAACUGCAUGGUUUAUAUAUUAAAGCCUUCGGGUGGUAACAGACGGGCAUGCGUAGGAUUAGCUAGUUGGAGAGGUAACGGCUCACCAAGGCGACGAUCCUUAGGGGUUCUGAGAGGAAGGUC
rnacentral:rRNA from 1 species